CACCACCUGGGCAGGUAGGUGGGCAGAGGGAGGGAGGGAGAAAAGAGGCAUCAGCGCCCAGGCACAGCUGGCCUGGGGCAGAGGAGUGGGCAAAAAAGGGGGCGCCGCGGCUGCGCUUGGCCGGUCUGGCCCUGGGUGCCGUGAACCUGGACCCAGACCCCCGGCCUCCAUGCGCCAGUGGUGCGACCCCACCCUUUGUCACCUCCAGACGACAGUCUGUGCAUCCCAAAACUGGGCCAGGAGAGCUACCCACCCAGGGCAGUCCUGAGGUUUGGGACACACUGUUAACCCAAGCAGGUGGGAUUUCUUACAAAAAUCUUAGCUCUGUCAUUAAAAUAAGUCUCCCAGCUUCGGAGCACAUGCUCAGCUUGGAGUUCCUCCGGGGGACCCCAGCAGGCUGAGGCUUGCUUUACCGACAUGACAGUCCACACCAGCACCAAGUGGGAUGAACAGGAAAGGGUGGGCUGGGCCCACAAGCACGAGGAACAGACUCAACAGAACCAAUGACCUGCUGGAUAACCCGACCCCCGGGGCCUCCAUUUUCUCAUCUAUAAAAGGGCAGCAGGGGGCACACAUGACAGACUCUACCUGGUAGGGCCGUGGGGAAGCACAAGUCAGCAGGCCGCAGCCAGCACAGCGUGGUGUCCCCUCCGUCUCCGCCCCUGAAGGGCAGCGAGACUGUGGGCAGAGGCUGGCCGCCUGGGUUCAAGCCCCAGCGCCACCACCCCUCAGCCGAGCAACCGCGGAGCGGCGGGUCAGCCUCUCCGUGGGAGGAAGCGGUAACUGUCUCCGCUUCAGAGGCCAGCCGGGUCACAGGAGCAGACUUGCACAAAGCGUGCGCUGUGGUGCCGGCAAGAGUAAAGUCCACACCAGCCGCGGAUGCACCUCAUGGCCCCUUCCACGGGCCACUGCGCUUGAAAUGGGGUCACUCGCAAACAAGCACCAGGCCCGUGAUGUGGAGCAGGUGAAGCCACGAUGCCCUCAAGACGCUGUUUUGA